GAUGAACGCUAGCGGCAGGCCUAACACAUGCAAGUCGAGGGAGGAGCUUUCGGGCUUCGACCGGCGUACGGGUGCGUAACGCGUAUACAAUCUGCCUUUCACAUAGGGAUAGCCCGAAGAAAUUUGGAUUAAUACCUAGUGGUAUAUAGAGGUGGCAUCACCUUUAUAUUAAAGCUGAGGCGGUGAAAGAUGAGUAUGCGUUCUAUUAGCUAGUUGGAGAGGUAACGGCUCCCCAAGGCGACGAUAGAUAGGGGUUCUGAGAGGGAUAUCCCCCACACUGGUACUGAGAUACGGACCAGACUCCUACGGGAGGCAGCAGUGAGGAAUAUUGGACAAUGGUCGGAAGACUGAUCCAGCCAUGCCGCGUGCAGGAAGACGGCCUUAUGGGUUGUAAACUGCUUUUGCAGGGGAAGAAUAAGGACUACGCGUAGUUUGAUGACGGUACUCUGCGAAUAAGCAUCGGCUAACUCCGUG
rnacentral:rRNA from 1 species